rnacentral:lncRNA from 1 species
GGGAGGGGAUGGCCACUCCUCCAGUUAAACAAACAGUCGGGUUUGCUAUCCACAGUCAUCGACUCGCGUGGGAGCCCUGGGGCUGAGCGGUGGCUCUCUCCUCGCCCGCGUCAAGGAAGAAGGAGCGAGUGAGCGAGCGCAGGACACGUCGUCCUGCUGGGGACAGAGCGACCGUCAGCCGCGGGGGACUGGGGAAGACGCCGGAGCCGCCCGGAGCGCCCCGCCUGUCUAGACUUGGAGCCUGCGUAUGCCCUCGGGAAGAGGAGGAGGAGGGAGGCGGUGGCCGCGCAGCGCAUCGAGUAUUGGUCUCUGUGCCUGAUCCUGCCCCACAAAUCCUGGAACCAGUGUCUGUCAGCAAUGAGAGAUGA